rnacentral:rRNA from 5 species
UGAAGAGUUUGAUCAUGGCUCAGAUUGAACGCUGGCGGCAGGCCUAACACAUGCAAGUCGAACGGUAACAGGAAGCAGCUUGCUGCUUCGCUGACGAGUGGCGGACGGGUGAGUAAUGUCUGGGAAACUGCCUGAUGGAGGGGGAUAACUACUGGAAACGGUGGCUAAUACCGCAUAACGUCGCAAGACCAAAGAGGGGGACCUUCGGGCCUCUUGCCAUCAGAUGUGCCCAGAUGGGAUUAGCUAGUUGGUGAGGUAACGGCUCACCAAGGCGACGAUCCCUAGCUGGUCUGAGAGGAUGACCAGCCACACUGGAACUGAGACACGGUCCAGACUCCUACGGGAGGCAGCAGUGGGGAAUAUUGCACAAUGGGCGCAAGCCUGAUGCAGCCAUGCCGCGUGUAUGAAGAAGGCCUUCGGGUUGUAAAGUACUUUCAGCGGGGAGG